AAUGAUUCGAACUCGAAGUAAUGUAGCCCGUAGGCGUAAAGGUCGAGUGAGUGCUUGCUCGAACGCGAAAAUAAAAGUAGCCCGUAGGCUUAGUCAUCGAGUGAAUGAUUCGAACUCGAAGUAAUGUAGUCCAUAGGCAUAAAGGUCGAGUGAGUGCUUGCUCGAACUCAAAAUAAAAGUAGCCCGUAGGCUUAGUCGUCGAGUGAAUGAUUCGAACUCGAAGUAAUGUAGCCCGUAGGCAUAAUGGUCGAGUGAGUGCUUGCUCGAACUCGAAAUAAAAGUUGCCCGUAGGCUUAGUCGUCGAGUGAAUGAUUCGAACUCGAAGUAAUGUAGCCCGUGGGCAUAAAGGUCGAAUUAAUCUUAAUUCUGUUUGCGUAAUAAAUCUCCAAAUAGAGGAAUUUUUCUUGGGUAUAAGAUGUCGGUAAAAAGGAGAACUUUCUUUGCAAGUCACUAUACAUGUGUUCAUGUUUCAUGCCUAGGUUCGGGACAAUCUACAUGAGCAUGGUUCAUUUUGACCAUUUGGCUCUUACAACUUUUCCUAUUGAAACCCGUAUAAGAUAUCGGUAAAGAGGAGAACUUUCUUUGCAUCUGAACUUGAUG
rnacentral:lncRNA from 1 species